CAGGCUUGUCAUGCUUGAGCACUUUUUCAAUGGGCUCCCCAAUAACAAAGCGACGAUGCAUUCGUAUGUCAUCCAUAUCAACUUUCGAUGCCAUUUACUGCGCUUACCAUGGUGACCACAGGUAACAGGGAAUCAGGGUUUGAUUUCUGAGAGGGAGCCUGAGAAAUGGCUACCACAUUCAAGGAAGGCAGCAGGCACGCAAAAGACCCACUCCUGACGCGGGAAGGUAAUGA